rnacentral:rRNA from 1 species
UGGGGAAUUUUCCGCAAUGGGCGAAAGCCUGACGGAGCAAUGCCGCGUGGAGGUGGAAGGCCUACGGGUCGUCAACUUCUUUUCUCGGAGAAGAAACAAUGACGGUAUCUGAGGAGUAAGCAUCGGCUAACUCUGUGCCGG